UCCCACUAUUCUGCCCAGGCUGGUCUUGGAACUCCUGGGCUCAAGCAGUCCUCCCACCCUGGCCUCUCUAAAUGCUGGGAUUAUAGGCAUGAGCCACCACACCCAGCCUCAGAAAUUUUAUCAGUUGUUGUUUUAUAUAUUUUGAGGCUAUAUGAGUAGGUGCUUUUAUGUUCCUGGUGUUUGUAUUUUCUUGUAUUACCUCAUUCUUUGUCUUUUAUAUUUUUCCUCUUGUAUCCUCUUUUGUCAAAUAUUAAAAUUACUUCCCUGAUUUUUUUUUGGUUUAUAUUUGCUUCAUGUAUUUUCUUCCUUUUGUUUAUUCCUUCUAUUUUCUUGUUUAAAUAUUUGAAAUGGUUUUUUAUUUUUUUUCAGAUGGAGUUUCACUCUUGUUGCCCAGGCUGGAGUGCAAUGGUGUGAUCUUGGCUCACUGCAACCUCCACCUCCUAGAUUCAAGCGAUUCUCCUGCCUCAGCCUCCCGAGCGGCUGGGAUUAUAGGCAUGUGCUACCACGCCUGGCUAAUUUUUUUGUAUUUUUAGUAGAGAUGAGGUUUCUCCAUGUUGGUCAGGCUGGUCUCGAACUCCUGACCUCAGGUGAACCGCCUGCCUUGGCUUCCCAAAGUGGUGGGAUUAUAGGCAUAAGCCACUGCGCCCAGCCCGUGAUAAAGUUUUUUUAUUUUCAGUGUUUCUCUUGUAUGCAACAUAUUGCUGAACCUUAAGGAAGAAACUCAACCCAGGAACGUUUGUCUUUUAAGAAGUGUGUUUACUUUACCCAUCUUUAUUACAAUUACUAUAAUAUUAGGACUUAUUCUGCCAUUUAAUUUUAUAUUUUUCAUGUACUGUGCCUUCUUUGUUGUUUCUUUCCCCACCUUUGUUACUUUCCAUUACAUAGAGCCAACAUUCUUCUCAUGUUUUGAAAACUAUACAUUCUAUUUUCUUGUUAAUGUAGUUGCUUUAAUUUGACUUUAUGCUACUUCAUUGAAUAAUUUUUAAUUAUUUAUAUUCUUCCUAAUAAUAAAGUUCCUUUCACACCCUCCUAUCCCAUCAGUCUUGUCUUUUCCUUCCUCUUUUUUUUUUUUUGAGAUGGGGUCUUGCACUGUCUCCCAGGCUGAAGUGCAGUGGUACGAUCUUGGCUCAUUGCAACCUCUGCCUCCUGGGUUCAAGCAAUUCUGCCUCAGCUUCCCGAGUAGCUGGGAUUACAGGUGUGCGCCACUGUGCUUGGCUAAUUUUUGUAUUUUUAGUAGAGACGGGGCUUCACCAUGUUGGCCAUGGUUGGCCAGGCUGGUCUCGAACUCCUGACCUCGGGUGAUCUGUCUGCCUCGGCCUCCCAAAGUGCUGGGAUUACAGGUGUGAGCCACUGCACCCGGUCCGUUCUGCUUAUUUUCAUCAUAUUCAUAGUAUCUAUAAUUCAGGUUUUUUUUCUUUUUUUUUUUUUGGUGUAAGUUCCCAACCAAUGGCCUUGUCCUUCGAGUACUUUUCCUCAGGCUGAUGAUAAAAGUUCUGUGUGAAGGUCCUUUUGCUUCAGCUCAUCUAUGGGACGGAGUCCAGCUGCAAAUAUAUGACACAGUAACUAGAGACUCUACUCUCCAACCAAUCAUUCCAUUCUGAUUAUCUCUCACUCUCCUCCACCUCUUCUUUCUCAGACUCUCUCCCCCUUUUAGCUUUUGUUGAUAUUCAAUUUUAUUAUGUCAUUUAAUCAUGUUUAUUUCCUAUAUUGCAGGCAUCAUCCUAUCCUCUUGAACUUAUUUCUCUUCUUAUUUGGAUACUUUGAGAACUGUAAAUGUAGGUCUUUGUGUGACAAACAUUCUGAGGCUUUUGUAAUGCGAUAAUUUUUUUUUUGUUUUUGAGACAGAGUCUUGCUCUGUCACCCAGGCUGGAGUGCAGUGGCGCAAUCUCAGCUCACUGCAGCCUCUGCCUCCCCGGGUUCAAGCAAUUCUCCUGCCUCAGCCUUCUGAGUAGCUAGGACCACAGGCACGCGCCACCAUGCCCGACUAAUUUUUGUAUU
rnacentral:lncRNA from 1 species